AGAUGGAAAAAGAAGCAAUUCCUGCAUAAAUAAAUAGAGCAAUACAAGGUAAUAAAACACGAUGAAUGGCACUGCAUGAGAUUGGAGAUGGUAACAAUAAGUUCAUAGAUAAACCAAAAAUCCAACCAUGAAGAGGAAGAGAUAAAAAGUGAAGUGAAAAACUUCAUGUCAUCGACCAACCUAACCACAAAAUGAUCAGUAAUUCUGGAAAAUUCCAACUUGUUAGUAGCUAAAGAAGCUGUACAUCAAUAACAAAGGUGAUGUGCUGUACAUCAACCAGUAGCUGCGUCAUCGGGGCCUGGCGUCUGCACCCACGGCGUCCCCACUUCCUCUGUUGCUGGAGUGGAAGCGCUGUUCCAGCCACGGGGAGUCCCAGCUUCACUUUGACGGGCCUGGGGUCUGCGCCCAUGGUGUCCCGGCUUCCGUCUGUUGCAGGGUGGAAUCAUGUUCCAGCCGACGGGGCGUCCCAGUCCUUCACUUUGAUGUUGCAUGAGUGGAAUCACUUUGAGAGCCUGGCGUCCGUGCCCAUGUUGAUGGUGUCCCAGCUUCAUUGGAAUCACUGUUCCAGCCACGGGGCGUCCCAGCUUCACUACGAGGAGGACCACCACCACCACGGUCUUUGUUCCACCCAGGGCGCGAUUGUUGCUUUUUGAAGUACUUGGGCAUGAAAGAUUCCGCCUUGUCGGGGUACUUCUCCUUGAUGAAAUUGUUGAGGCACUUGAUGUAGGAGAAAUCUGAUUCCACGCCAUCAACAGAGACGGCAUAAAAGCACCUGCUGUCCUGGAACUCACUAUGCUUGCUAACCUGUGAGGUGAGUCCCAAGAGAUUAGCUUAUUUU
rnacentral:lncRNA from 1 species